rnacentral:rRNA from 1 species
UACGGAGGGUGCAAGCGUUGUUCGGAAUUAUUGGGCGUAAAGAGCGUGUAGGCGGCCUGGUAAGUCAGAUGUGAAAGCCCUUGGCUUAACCAAGGAAGGGCAUUUGAAACUGCCGGGCUUGAGUACGGGAGGGGGAAGCGGAAUUCCCGGUGUAGAGGUGAAAGUCGUAGAUAUCGGGAGGAACACCGGUGGCGAAGGCGGCUUCCUGGACCGAUACUGACGCUGAGACGCGAAAGCGUGGGGAGCAAACAGG